CUUUUUGACUCUGCUUGUGGAGGUUUCAGCUUUUGGCAGAUGAACAAUGGGAAGACGUGGCAUGAGAUUUCAUAUGAAAGCCUUGUCUGCUUACCACGCCACAAGAAGUGGUUGCUCAUGUUGGGGAGAAUUCAAAUUGCUUGUGAAAAAUAUGAUCCAGUGGCUGUGUCAUGGUGGAAUGAUCCAUAGAGGACCUUCCAAAGCCUCUGAGAUGACACGAGGUGGAUCAUGUGAUGGAUAAAUGCCUACACUUCUGCACCAGCUCAUCUUAUUUCCCCAUGCUGAUUUUGUGACUGGACAGAGGCAAUGGUGUGAGAGCAUGUUGUGGUAAGUGCAUCUUCUGAUGUGACUUCUGCACGGGACACUUCACAAAGAGGUCCAACCUUUUGUAAUACAUAGGGCCUGGUCUUCUCUGCCUUCACAUGUGGUGUUUCAGUGAAGAGACUGGGACACUGCAUGGCAGCUGCAGGGACUCUGCAGGAGACUCUAGGCUGGUGUGAACCCUUGAGUAUGUGUCACACUUCUGCGUGACAGCUUGGGAAACAUGGUAGUGCCCACAUUUGUUAUUAAAAUUAAGCAAAUGCAAAGAAAUGUUUUGUUUGGAUUUUGGAACUCCAGAUACAAUUUUCUCUUGUUACUUAGCUUCUCACAUUAUAAGCCUUUUCUAAACAGAAUAUUUCUGUGUAGCAAAACCAGUAAAAUAGUAAUUUAAAAAAAGAGGCUAAGCUUUUAUCUGUCCUGCUAAAUUUGAUAUUAAAUAUGAAUGGUCCUGUAAAGCACAUCUCUUCAUCUUUGUUUCUACAAAAGAGCAGCAUAUGGUCUUUCACUUAUUCCUGCUGUCAAUAGCAGAGUGUGUUCAGGAGUUAAGAGUUUAUCUUUGCAGGAAGCAUCAAAAGUGGGCUACUCCCCUGGGAAGGCAAGCCAGGUGCCAGGGUGACAGCAAAGGCACAGUCCCACAGUGCUCAAGCAAGGAGAGCAAGUCCGGUCAAGUGAUAGUAAACAGGGGCUAGUCACAGCUUAGACAAGUCCCUCAUGAUAAGGCAGGUCUGUGGUCAAGUCAGAAGGUUAGGAACAGGGCCAGGAACCAGCAGCCUAAUCACUUCUCAGACAGCUGAGCUGUCAGAGGUGGCUGCCAGCAGAGGCAGCUGACUUCUGAGGCCAGGACAGAGGCUGGGACUGUGGUUGUAUGCAGAGGCCAGGCUCAACUGCCCUGUAGGACAAUAAGAGCACAUCUUCUGUAGGAUACUGUCAAAUGGAGAAUGCAUGCCAAGAGGAUCGCUAUGUAGCUGGAGCCCAGUGACAAUUAGGCUUCGAACAAUUGUGUGCCACUAACCUGAAGUGAUGUGUUUUGCAGGAUAAACUGGAGGUGGUAACAAGAUUACCAUCUAUAAUUUAAAGAUAAAAAACCUCCCACAGCUGAAAAGAAGACAGUCUGCAUGAAACAAAUGCUUUGCAUAAGGACAGAGCAUAUUUCUGUUCCCCUCUGAAGAGGUUUCUGAGCAUUAUUAUCCUAUUGUGAUGCCAUGCUACAAUUAAUCACCCCUUUUAGUGGUGCUGUAAUAAACUCAGAGGUUUGGAUUCACAGCUUGUGUAAAUCAGUAUGGGUCCAUUCAUUUCAGUGGAACUGUACCAGGGGAAUAUCUGGCCUGAGACAUCAAGUGAAGCUUGUAGAGAGAUGUUUAAUAAAGCAA